GACGAACGCUGGCGGCGUGCUUAACACAUGCAAGUCGAACGGCAAGGCCCUGCUUUUGUGGGGUGCUCGAGUGGCGAACGGGUGAGUAACACGUGAGUAACCUGCCCUUGACUUUGGGAUAACUUCAGGAAACUGGGGCUAAUACCGGAUAGGAGCUCCUGCUGCAUGGUGGGGGUUGGAAAGUUUCGGCGGUUGGGGAUGGACUCGCGGCUUAUCAGCUUGUUGGUGGGGUAGUGGCUUACCAAGGCUUUGACGGGUAGCCGGCCUGAGAGGGUGAACGGCCACAUUGGGACUGAGAUACGGACCAGACGCGAACGGGAGGCAGGAGUGGGGAAUAUUGCACAAUGGGCGGAAGCCGGAUGCAGCAACGCCGCGUGCGGGAUGACGGCCUUCGGGUUGUAAAACGCAGUCGCCUGUGACGAAGCGUGAGUGACGGUAAUGGGUAAAGAAGCACCGGCUAACUACGUG
rnacentral:rRNA from 1 species